AUACGUAGGGGACGAGCGUUGUCCGGAAUUACUGGGCGUAAAGGGCGCGCAGGCGGAUAUUUAAGUCAGCUGUAAAAGGCAUGAGCUCAACUCAUGUAUGCGGUUGAAACUGGGUAUCUAGAGUGCUGGAGAGGUAGGCGGAAUUCCCGGUGUAGCGGUGAAAUGCGUAGAUAUCGGGAAGAACACCAGUGGCGAAGGCGGCUUACUGGCCAGCAACUGACGCUGAGGCGCGAAAGCCAGGGGAGCGAACGGGAUUAGAUACCCCGGUAGUCCUGGCAGUAAACGAUGUAUGCUGGGUGUGAGACUAGCGAUAGUUUCGUGCCGAAGUAAACGCGAUAAGCAUACCGCCUGGGGAGUACGGUCGCAAGAUUGAAACUUAAAGGAAUUGGCGGGG
rnacentral:rRNA from 1 species